UACAGAGGUCCCAAGCGUUGUUCGGAUUCACUGGGCGUAAAGGGUGCGUAGGUGGUGGAGUAAGUCUGAUGUGAAAUCUCCGAGCUCAACUCGGAAAUGGCAUUGGAAACUACUUUGCUAGAGGAUUGGAGGGGAGACUGGAAUUCUUGGUGUAGCAGUGAAAUGCGUAGAUAUCAAGAGGAACACCAGUGGCGAAAGCGAGUCUCUGGACAAUUCCUGACACUGAGGCACGAAAGCUAGGGGAGCAAACAGG
rnacentral:rRNA from 1 species